rnacentral:rRNA from 7 species
UGGGGAAUAUUGCACAAUGGGCGGAAGCCUGAUGCAGCAACGCCGCGUGCGGGAUGACGGCCUUCGGGUUGUAAACCGCUUUCGCCUGUGACGAAGCGUGAGUGACGGUAAUGGGUAAAGAAGCACCGGCUAACUACGUGCCAGCAGCCGCGGUGAUACGUAGGGUGCGAGCGUUGUCCGGAUUUAUUGGGCGUAAAGGGCUCGUAGGUGGUUGAUCGCGUCGGAAGUGUAAUCUUGGGGCUUAACCCUGAGCGUGCUUUCGAUACGGGUUGACUUGAGGAAGGUAGGGGAGAAUGGAAUUCCUGGUGGAGCGGUGGAAUGCGCAGAUAUCAGGAGGAACACCAGUGGCGAAGGCGGUUCUCUGGGCCUUUCCUGACGCUGAGGAGCGAAAGCGUGGGGAGCGAACAGG